rnacentral:rRNA from 1 species
UACAGGGGUCUCAAGCGUUGUUCGGAUUCAUUGGGCGUAAAGGGUGCGUAGGUGGCGCUGUAAGUCGGGUGUGAAAUUUCGGAGCUUAACUCCGAAACUGCAUUCGAUACUGCGGUGCUUGAGGACUGGAGAGGAGACUGGAAUUCAUGGUGUAGCAGUGAAAUGCGUAGAGAUCAUGAGGAAGACCAGUGGCGAAGGCGGGUCUCUGGACAGUUCCUGACACUGAGGCACGAAGGCCAGGGGAGCAAACGGG